UCCUGCAUCCCCAAAAUGAGGACGAGCAAGGAGAGGGGCGAGGCCAGGAAUGGGAGGGGGUUCUAAGGGGGUUAUCCAUCAUCACCCUUUGUGGCCUUCCGUACUCGGUAUACUUGCACGACCAACUUUGCACACGGCUGUUAACGUUAUGAAAAAAAGGCUUCAAAGUCACAAAGGCUUUAAGAGGUCACGUAAUUGUUUGCUGUGAUGACUGUGAUGAUUUACUGGCAACAUUUGAGGAGGGGGAGGGGGGUUUCUUUUAAUUUAGGCCAAUUUCGAUUUUUCAACCCUUUCAGAUUUUGUGUGGUGAUUUUGGGCCAAGCCACUCAUACAAAAUGUCAAUUCGAAAUUGUAAGGUUUGGUUCUAAUUUUUGUUGUUGUGGACAAAGCCUUGGAAUUCCCCCGAAAUCGCUGCUUCAAAUCAAAACGACAGGUUUCCUGUUCAAUGUCUUGUCACACGUGCAUCUUUGUUGGGACUUUUUGGUAUGGCAACUCAAUAUUAUGUCCCAUCUGUGAAACGGGGGCAGGCACACGAAAAAAUAAAUUGCAACGUCAGCAAAAAUGCGUUGUCAACCUCCGCAAUCCACGACUGAAUUCUUAUCACGGACGGAGUUGAUUAAUUAGCCCAUUCCAUAAUUAGCACCUUUUUUUUUAGCAUUCUCAUUUAACAGCUAGCAGCUAUUGUGAAAGUGCGAUAUAAAUCAGGAUGUAUUGUAUUGUGUUGUAACUGUCUUCUUCCUAUGAAUAAUCAUUUGCUAACAGUGCUCCUUAGCGCCACCCUCCAGGGCUUGAGUGGAACAACACGGUCCAAAAACGAUCUCGCGGCUUUAAUCUCCGUACUUAACUUUGUUUGCCAUAGAAAAUCCCGACGUCCAUGAGGGACACACUGAUGGUUGUUGACCAUCAAAUAUCUGGAAAGCGGAACGCAGAAAUAAAAGUUCUGCUCAGCGCGGCAGCAAAUAUAUUGUCUGCGGUAUUAACUGGUCUUUAGCGCAAUCCUGCAUACAUUCCAAAUCAAAUCAACAGACACGCAUUGUUCCAGUUAUCUGGAUUGAAGCCACCACCAUCAUGUGUGUGAUGAAAUCAGCAGUGACAGCUCGAUGUGUGGACGAAUCGAUAUCGGGUGACAGUGUGGCGAGAUGACACGAGGACAUUUGGACAAUUGUUGUACUAUUUAGCACCCCCCUCAAAUAUGGAUUGCUGCAUUGUACAAAAUAGUCUAUCAUGUUUUUUUUUUUUUUUCUGUCCUGCUUGGAAUCGCUGUUCUUUUUCGUUGGGAUGAACGAAUCACCUUCAUCAUGUCCGAAAACGCAAGCGUAUAUAUUGUGGCGACAGUGUGUCUGUUUUGAGGUGUCCACAACUAAAAGUUUCUCACAGUAAAAAAAAAUCCCCGCCAUCAAUGUCAUGGCGGUGAAAUUCGGCGGGCGUGUCUUAUCCUGACACGAAGCAGGACCUAGGUGUGAAAUUGAACAGGAAGUUGGCCGUUUUAGGUUUGAAGCGGCCAUUUUGGGUGAAUUCCAUUUCUAGGUUUGAAGCGGCCAUUUUGGGUGAAUUCCAUUUCUAGGUUUGAAGCGGCCAUUUUGGGUGAAUUCCAUUUCUAGGUUUGAAGCGGCCAUUUUGGGUGAAUUCCAUUUCUAGGUUUGAAGCGGCCAUUUUGGGUGGAUUCCAUUACUCGUAACCGAGAUGAACUCCUCCGACGGAAUUUUGUCAAAAGAGCCCCAAUCGGAUGAAAGUAUUCCCAAACAAAAGGGCCAUGCUGAAUUGCCAAGCCUGAUUUUUAUCCACGGCAUCGAAUGUGAGCGAAGUUAGGAUGUUGAAUGAUUAUUUAGAAUGUCUGCCAUGAAAAAGUUGUGCUGCGAUGCUGUAGUUAGGAAAGAAAUCCCCCCCUCCCCCCACCCCCGCUCCCGUCAGCUGUUUCACCACUCAACAUGAAACUGGGGGAGCCUGUGUGUUCUAACGGAACGCUUGAAAAUGUGUCAAGGACCCAAGUCCAAAGAUCGAUGGGAAGUCAGCCAUGUUGUUUUGAAGCCGCCAUUUUGGGGAAGAAUACCAGGGCUUUGUACUUUUUCCAACUCCCACUACGAAAUUUGAUCGAAUGAGGCGCAACUGCCAAGCGUAUGCUCGGGAUAGUUUGGAGUUUGCGUCUUCCCUCCAGCAGCGAGUGAUUUGUGAAUUAUUUAUUCCAUUCAAAGGCCCGAUGGAGCAGGUAACAUCGGCGGAGGUCAUAUUUGACUUUUCAGCCGAGCUGUAGUUAAACUGUAAGCUCCUUGUCCUUGAUUGCGACGAGGGAGCAGCUGGAGCCCGUCGGCGCAGCACAACACACGAUAUUUUCCGGUUAAUUUUGAGUGUGAAACUUUCAGAUAGAGCCCCCCCCGUUCAACAGUUUGUGUUACAACGUAACUCAGAUUGCAUAUUGGGAGGCGAUCACAAGAUGGGGGAAAUGACAAUCGGAGCCAUCUGCUUCUGGCUCUCUCCGGUCUGGAAAUAGGGGAGGGCGUCUUCUUUAUCAGUCAAUCGUCGUCGUCGUCACAAAUUUGGAAGAGGGCGUAGACACUUGUGGACAGCUGUUGUUCUGUCAAAUGCCAAAAAAAAAAAAGGAAA